UACGGAGGGUGCAAGCGUUAAUCGGAAUUACUGGGCGUAAAGCGCGCGUAGUGGCUGCGUAAGUCGGAUGUGAAAGCCCCGGGCUUAACCUGGGAACUGCAUUCGAUACUGCGCGACUAGAGUAUGGUAGAGGGAAGCGGAAUUCCCGGUGUAGCGGUGAAAUGCGUAGAUAUGUGGAGGAACACCAAUGGCGAAGGCAGCCCCUCGGGCCGAUACUGACGCUCAUGCACGAAAGCGUGGGGAGCAAACAGGAUUAGAAACCCCUGUAGU
rnacentral:rRNA from 1 species